AUGUGUGUCCCAAAAGACCAAGGCGGAAUGGGAUUCCGAGAUAUACAUUGUUUCAAUUUGGCUUUGCUAGCCAAGCAAGUGUGGCGUUUGCUUGAUAAUCCAGAAUCUUUAUGUGCCACAAUCUUGAGAGAUAAAUAUUUCCCGAAUAGCGAUUUGAUGAAUGCAAAUCUAAAGAAGGGUUUUUCUUUUACCUGGCAAAGCAUUAUGGCGGGGAUUAAUUCUCUAAGGAAUGGUUAUAUCUGGCGAGUUGGAAAUGGACAAAAUAUUGAUAUCUGGGAAGAUGCUUGGAUCCCGAAUUGUGCAAAUAGGAAAAUAAUUACUCCUAGAGGGGGGCAACUUCUGUCAAAGGUAUCUGACCUUAUUGAUCCAAUCACGAGUUAUUGGGAUGAAGACUUGGUGAGACAAACUUUAUGGCCAAUUGACACUAAAAGGGUGCUCGUGAUUCCCCUUCCGAUGCAUGACAUGAGCGACUUCAUUGCUUGGAGCUACACAAAAAAUGGU
rnacentral:rRNA from 1 species